CGACGAUGACCGCUUUCGGGCGGGGAUUAGUGGCGAACGGGUGAGUAACACGUGGGCAAUCUGCCCUGCACUCUGGGACAAGCCCUGGAAACGGGGUCUAAUACCGGAUACUCACUGCCUUGGGCAUCCUUGGUGGUGGAAAGCUCCGGCGGUGCAGGAUGAGCCCGCGGCCUAUCAGCUAGUUGGUGAGGUAAUGGCUCACCAAGGCGACGACGGGUAGCCGGCCUGAGAGGGCGACCGGCCACACUGGGACUGAGAACGGCCAGACUCCUACGGGGGAAGCAGUGGGGGAUAUUGCACAAUGGGCGAAAGCCUGAUGCAGCGACGCCGCGUGAGGGAUGACGGCCUUCGGGUUGUAAACCUCUUUCAGCAGGGAAGAAGCGAGAGUGACGGUACCUGCAGAAGAAGCGCCGGCUAACUACGUGCCAGCAGCCGCGGUAAUACGUAGGGCGCAAGCGUUGUCCGGAAUUAUUGGGCGUAAAGAGCUCGUAGGCGGCUUGUCACGUCGGUUGUGAAAGCCCGGGGCUUAACCCCGGGUCUGCAGUCGAUACGGGCAGGCUAGAGUUCGGUAGGGGAGAUCGGAAUUCCUGGUGUAGCGGUGAAAUGCGCAGAUAUCAGGAGGAACACCGGUGGCGAAGGCGGAUCUCUGGGCCGAUACUGACGCUGAGGAGCGAAAGCGUGGGGAGCGAACAGGAUUAGAUACCCUGGUAGUCCACGCCGUAAACGGUGGGCACUAGGUGUGGGCAACAUUCCACGUUGUCCGUGCCGCAGCUAACGCAUUAAGUGCCCCGCCUGGGGGAGUACGGCCGCAAGGCUAAAACUCAAAGGAAUUGACGGGGGCCCGCACAAGCAGCGGAGCAUGUGGCUUAAUUCGACGCAACGCGAAGAACCUUACCAAGGCUUGACAUACACCGGAAACGCCAGAGAUGGUCGCCCCCUUGUGGUCGGUGUACAGGUGGUGCAUGGCUGUCGUCAGCUCGUGUCGUGAGAUGUUGGGUUAAGUCCCGCAACGAGCGCAACCCUUGUCCCGUGUUGCCAGCAAGCCCUUCGGGGUGUUGGGGACUCACGGGAGACCGCCGGGGUCAACUCGGAGGAAGGUGGGGACGACGUCAAGUCAUCAUGCCCCUUAUGUCUUGGGCUGCACACGUGCUACAAUGGCCGGUACAAUGAGCUGCGAUACCGCGAGGUGGAGCGAAUCUCAAAAAGCCGGUCUCAGUUCGGAUUGGGGUCUGCAACUCGACCCCAUGAAGUCGGAGUUGCUAGUAAUCGCAGAUCAGCAUUGCUGCGGUGAAUACGUUCCCGGGCCUUGUACACACCGCCCGUCACGUCACGAAAGUCGGUAA
rnacentral:rRNA from 1 species